AUCCAGCUGAUGAGUCCCAAGUAGGACGAAACUUGCGUCAAACCGGAU
rnacentral:hammerhead_ribozyme from 1 species